GGUGCGAUGGUUGUCGUCAGCUCGUGUCGUGAGAUGUGGUUAAGUCCGCAACGAGCGCAACCCUACGUUAGUUGCUAACGCGUGAAGGCGAGCACUCUAGACGAACUGCCGUUGACAAAACGGAGGAAGUGGGGAUGACGUCAAAUCAUCAUGCCCCUUAUGUUCUGGGCUACACACGUGCUACAAUGGCCGGUACAGACGGACGCAAAGCCGCGAGGCGGAGCAAAUCCGAAAAAGCCGGUCUCAGUUCGGAUUGCAGGCUGCAAUUCGCCUGCAUGAAGUCGGAAUCGCUAGUAAUCGCAGGUCAGCAUACUGCGGUGAAUACGUUCCCGGGCCUU
rnacentral:rRNA from 1 species